UACAGAGGGUGCGAGCGUUGUUCGGAAUUACUGGGCGUAAAGCGUUCGCAGGCGGCUUGAUCAGUCGGAUGUGAAAGCCCCAGGCUCAACCUGGGAACUGCAUCCGAAACUGUCAAGCUUGAGUUCGAGAGAGGGAAGUGGAAUUCCUGGUGUAGAGGUGAAAUUCGUUGAUAUCAGGAGGAACACCGGCGGCGAAGGCGGCUUCCUGGCUCGAUACUGACGCUCAUGUACGAAAGCGUGGGGAGCAAACAGG
rnacentral:rRNA from 1 species